AACGAACGCUGGCGGCAGGCUUAACACAUGCAAGUCGAACGCCCCGCAAGGGGAGUGGCAGACGGGUGAGUAACGCGUGGGAACAUACCCUUUCCUGCGGAAUAGCUCUGGGAAACUGGAAUUAAUACCGCAUACGCCCUACGGGGGAAAGAUUUAUCGGGGAAGGAUUGGCCCGCGUUGGAUUAGCUAGUUGGUGGGGUAAAGGCCUACCAAGGCGACGAUCCAUAGCUGGUCUGAGAGGAUGAUCAGCCACAUUGGGACUGAGACACGGCCCAAACUACUACGGGAGGCAGCAGUGGGGAAUAUUGGACAAUGGGCGCAAGCCUGAUCCAGCCAUGCCGCGUGAGUGAUGAAGGCCUUAGGGUUGUAAAGCCCUUUCACCGAUGAAGAUAAUGACGGUAGUCGGAGAAGAAGCCCCGGCUAACUUCGUGCCAGCCGCCGCAGUAACAC
rnacentral:rRNA from 1 species